rfam:Oryza glumipatula chromosome 4, whole genome shotgun sequence.
UUUAAGCACAUCUAUGAGUUUCCGUGUCCAACUUUGAUCAUCUGUCUUAUUUGAUUUUUUAUUAGUAUUUUUAUUGCUAUUAGAUGAUAAAAUAUGAUUAGUACUUUAUGCGUGACUUAAGUUUUUUAAAUUUUUCAAAUAAGAUAGACAAUAAAAGUUUGACAUAGAAACUCAUGUCUUUGCUUAAA